rnacentral:rRNA from 1 species
AGAGUUUGAUCAUGGCUCAGAUUGAACGCUGGCGGCAGGCCUAACACAUGCAAGUCGAACGGUAACAGGAAGCAGCUUGCUGCUUCGCUGACGAGUGGCGGACGGGUGAGUAAUGUCUGGGAAACUGCCUGAUGGAGGGGGAUAACUACUGGAAACGGUAGCUAAUACCGCAUAACGUCGCAAGACCAAAGAGGGGGACCUUCGGGCCUCUUGCCAUCGGAUGUGCCCAGAUGGGAUUAGCUAGUAGGUGGGGUAACGGCUCACCUAGGCGACGAUCCCUAGCUGGUCUGAGAGGAUGACCAGCCACACUGGAACUGAGACACGGUCCAGACUCCUACGGGAGGCAGCAGUGGGGAAUAUUGCACAAUGGGCGCAAGCCUGAUGCAGCCAUGCCGCGUGUAUGAAGAAGGCCUUCGGGUUGUAAAGUACUUUCAGCGGGGAGGAAGGGAGUAAAGUUAAUACCUUUACUCAUUGACGUUACCCGCAGAAGAAGCACCGGCUAACUCCGUGCCAGCAGCCGCGGUAAUACGGAGGGUACAAGCGUUAAUCGGAAUUACUGGGCGUAAAGCGCACGCAGGCGGUUUGUUAAGUCAGAUGUGAAAUCCCCGGGCUCAACCUGGGAACUGCAUCUGAUACUGGCAAGCUUGAGUCUCGUAGAGGGGGGUAGAAUUCCAGGUGUAGCGGUGAAAUGCGUAGAGAUCUGGAGGAAUACCGGUGGCGAAGGCGGCCCCCUGGACGAAGACUGACGCUCAGGUGCGAAAGCGUGGGGAGCAAACAGGAUUAGAUACCCUGGUAGUCCACGCCGUAAACGAUGUCGACUUGGAGGUUGUGCCCUUGAGGCGUGGCUUCCGGAGCUAACGCGUUAAGUCGACCGCCUGGGGAGUACGGCCGCAAGGUUAAAACUCAAAUGAAUUGACGGGGGCCCGCACAAGCGGUGGAGCAUGUGGUUUAAUUCGAUGCAACGCGAAGAACCUUACCUGGUCUUGACAUCCACGGAAGUUUUCAGAGAUGAGAAUGUGCCUUCGGGAACCGUGAGACAGGUGCUGCAUGGCUGUCGUCAGCUCGUGUUGUGAAAUGUUGGGUUAAGUCCCGCAACGAGCGCAACCCUUAUCCUUUGUUGCCAGCGGUCCGGCCGGGAACUCAAAGGAGACUGCCAGUGAUAAACUGGAGGAAGGUGGGGAUGACGUCAAGUCAUCAUGGCCCUUACGACCAGGGCUACACACGUGCUACAAUGGCGCAUACAAAGAGAAGCGACCUCGCGAGAGCAAGCGGACCUCAUAAAGUGCGUCGUAGUCCGGAUUGGAGUCUGCAACUCGACUCCAUGAAGUCGGAAUCGCUAGUAAUCGUGGAUCAGAAUGCCACGGUGAAUACGUUCCCGGGCCUUGUACACACCGCCCGUCACACCAUGGGAGUGGGUUGCAAAAGAAGUAGGUAGCUUAACCUUCGGGAGGGCGCUUACCACUUUGUGAUUCAUGACUGGGGUGAAGUCGUAACAAGGUAACCGUAGGGGAACCUGCGGUUG